GAUGAGGUGGUUAAGGCAUUGGAGUGCUAAUCCAUUGUGCUCUGCACGUGUAGGUUCAAAUCCCAUCCUCAUUG
rnacentral:tRNA from 1 species